rnacentral:rRNA from 1 species
UACGGGGGGGGCAAGCGUUGUUCGGAAUUACUGGGCGUAAAGCGCACGUAGGCGGCUUUGUAAGUUAGAGGUGAAAGCCCGGGGCUCAACUCCGGAAUUGCCUUUAAGACUGCAUCGCUUGAAUCCGGGAGAGGUGAGUGGAAUUCCGAGUGUAGAGGUGAAAUUCGUAGAUAUUCGGAAGAACACCAGUGGCGAAGGCGGCUCACUGGACCGGUAUUGACGCUGAGGUGCGAAAGCGUGGGGAGCAAACAGG